rnacentral:misc_RNA from 1 species
AGCAGCCGCGGUAAUUCCAGCUCCAAUAGCGUAUAUUAAAGUUGUUGCAGUUAAAAGCUCGUAGUUGAAUUUCGGGAUCAAAGAAUCGGUCAUGCCUUGGUAUGUACUGGUUUUAUUGGUUCUCACCUUCUAAAGAACCAUGAUGUCAUUCAUUUGAUGUUAUGGGGAAUUAGGACUGUUACCCUGAAAAAUUAGAGUGUUUAAAGCAAGCUUACGCUUGAAUACAUUAGCAUGGAAUAAUGAAAUAGGACAUCAGAUUCUAUUUUGUUGGUUUCUAGGAUCGAUGUAAUGAUUAAUAGGGAUAGUUGGGGGCAUUAGUAUUCAAUUGUCAGAGGUGAAAUUCUCGGAUUUAUUGAAGACUAACUACUGCGAAAGCAUUUGCCAAGGAUGUUUUCAUUAAUCAAGAACGAAAGUUAGGGAUCGAAGACGAUCAGAUACCGUCGUAGUCUUAACCAUAAACUAUGCCGACUAGGGAUCGGAUGAUGUUAAUUUUUUAAUUGACUCUA